rnacentral:rRNA from 1 species
GACGAACGUUGGCGGCGUGCUUAACACAUGCAAGUCGAACGGAAAGGCCCUGCUUUUGUGGGGUGCUCGAGUGGCGAACGGGUGAGUAACACGUGAGUAACCUGCCCUUGACUUUGGGAUAACUUCAGGAAACUGGGGCUAAUACCGGAUAGGAGCUCCUGCUGCAUGGUGGGGGUUGGAAAGUUUCGGCGGUUGGGGAUGGACUCGCGGCUUAUCAGCUUGUUGGUGGGGUAGUGGCUUACCAAGGCUUUGACGGGUAGCCGGCCUGAGAGGGUGACCGGCCACAUUGGGACUGAGAUACGGCCCAGACUCCUACGGGAGGCAGCAGUGGGGAAUAUUGCACAAUGGGCGGAAGCCUGAUGCAGCAACGCCGCGUGCGGGAUGACGGCCUUCGGGUUGUAAACCGCUUUCGCCUGUGACGAAGCGUGAGUGACGGUAAUGGGUAAAGAAGCACCGGCUAACUACGUGCCAGCAGCCGCGGUGAUACGUAGGGUGCGAGCGUUGUCCGGAUUUAUUGGGCGUAAAGGGCUCGUAGGUGGUUGAUCGCGUCGGAGGUGUAAUCUUGGGGCUUAACCCUGAGCGUGCUUUCGAUACGGGUUGACUUGAGGAAGGUAGGGGAGAAUGGAAUUCCUGGUGGAGCGGUGGAAUGCGCAGAUAUCAGGAGGAACACCAGUGGCGAAGGCGGUUCUCUGGGCCUUUCCUGACGCUGAGGAGCGAAAGCGUGGGGAGCGAACAGGCUUAGAUACCCUGGUAGUCCACGCUGUAAACGGUGGGUACUAGGUGUGGGGUCCAUUCCACGGGUUCCGUGCCGUAGCUAACGCUUUAAGUACCCCGCCUGGGGAGUACGGCCGCAAGGCUAAAACUCAAAGGAAUUGACGGGGCCCCGCACAAGCGGCGGAGCAUGCGGAUUAAUUCGAUGCAACGCGUAGAACCUUACCUGGGUUUGACAUGGAUCGGGAGUGCUCAGAGAUGGGUGUGCCUCUUUUGGGGUCGGUUCACAGGUGGUGCAUGCCUGUCGUCAGCUCGUGUCGUGAGAUGUUGGGUUAAGUCCCGCAACGAGCGCAACCCUUGUUCACUGUUGCCAGCACGUUAUGGUGGGGACUCAGUGGAGACCGCCGGGGUCAACUCGGAGGAAGGUGGGGAUGACGUCAAGUCCUCAUGCCCCUUAUGUCCAGGGCUUCACGCAUGCUACAAUGGCUGGUACAGAGAGUGGCGAGCCUGUGAGGGUGAGCGAAUCUCGGAAAGCCGGUCUCAGUUCGGAUUGGGGUCUGCAACUCGACCUCAUGAAGUCGGAGUCGCUAGUAAUCGCAGAUCAGCAACGCUGCGGUGAAUACGUUCCCGGGGC